rnacentral:tRNA from 1 species
GUCUCGAUAGCUAAGUGGUAUAGCAUGCGAUUGCAGCGAGUAAUCACUUAUCGCAGGGUCCGGUGUUCGAACCACCGUCGGGACU